rnacentral:rRNA from 1 species
CUUCGGUACAUCGGUGACAGUGGUGCAUGGUUGUCGUCAGCUCGUGUCGUGAGAUGUUGGGUUAAGUCCCGCAACGAGCGCAACCCCUAUUGUUAGUUGCCAUCAUUCAGUUGGGCACUCUAGCGAGACUGCCGGUAAUAAACCGGAGGAAGUGGGAUGACGUCAAAUCAUCAUGCCCCUUAUGACCUGGGCUACACACGUGCUACAAUGGUUGGUACAACGAGUUGCGAGUCGGUGACGGCGAGCUAAUCUCUUAAAGCCAAUCUCAGUUCGGAUUGUAGGCUGCAACUCGCCUACAUGAAGUCGGAAUCGCUAGUAAUCGCGGAUCAGCACGCCGCGGUGAAUACGUUCCCGGGCCUU